UACGGAGGGUGCGAGCGUUACUCGGAAUUACUGGGCGUAAAGCGUGCGUAGGCGGUUAUCUAAGUCGGAUGUGAAAGCCCCGGGCUCAACCUGGGAAUUGCAUUCGAGACUGAAUAGCUAGGGUGCGGUAGAGGGAAGCGGAAUUUCCGGUGUAGCGGUGAAAUGCGUAGAUAUCGGAAGGAACAUCAGUGGCGAAAGCGGCUUCCUGGACCAGCACCGACACUCAGGCACGAAAGCGUGGGGAGCAAACAGG
rnacentral:rRNA from 1 species